rnacentral:lncRNA from 1 species
AGGACCCAGAAAUCCCACUUCCCUUUUCUUCUAUUCCAGUUUUCCAUUCUACAUAUGGGUCCCACUGGCUGAGCCACUUCAUGAACGUGGGAUUGUUGGUGAUUCCAGACCUCGAUAGAGUAUUUUUCUUAAGGUUAAAGGAGGACUAGUAAAAGCAAUUGGCAAUUUGUAGUCUCUUUCACUUGCCCUAAGAAGAAAAAAAAAUCCAGUGUCCUAGUCUAGGGUUACCAGCUACAGCUUACAGACAACCUGAGGCAUAGUUCCUUUAUCCAAGAGCUGUGGAACAUCUUUUCUGGGGCCCCAAGCCUCUCUCUUGUCGAAGCUCAAAGAUGACUUAUGUACCCGGUGUUUAGCAGCAGUAGAACAGGAACUAAGAAGCACAGCAAGAUGAAGAGACAAAGCUGCAGGAAGAGCAAAAAGUGGCUGUGGUUUAAGAAGAAGAGCUAAAGCACCGGGCAGUGGUGGCGCACACCUUUAGUCCCAGCACUCGGGAGGCAGAGGCAGGUGGAUCUCUGUGAGUUCAAGGCCAGCCUGGUCUACGGAGUGAGUUCCAGGACAGCCAGGGUUACACAGAGAAACUCUGUCUUGAGGAAGAAAGAAAGAAAAAAAAAAGGACUGAAAGUUUGAUGGGUUGAUGAUGUUUGAGCAGAAACAAGGGGCAAUCCAGAAUGACUUGUGACUUCUGUGGUAACCUUACGAACUAGUGACGAACUGAGACAUCUCUCCAGAGCUCUCUCUCUCUUUGACAUAAUAAUUGAGCAUACUUGUGAGGUAAGGCGUGGUCUUUUUGGUGUACAUGGGAUGUGUGGGGAUCAAAUCUCAGGUCAGGUCCAUUAGCUUUCCCUUCUCCACAAAUGUUCAUCACUUGCAUUGAAGAUCUUUGUGCUCUCUAUUCCCCACAAGAUGUGUAAUACAUGGUGAACUGGACGGAUUUCAACUUCAGGUUGGAAGAACAGAGGAGGGACAGAAGUGAUGGAAGGCCAAUUGCAAAGUCAAGGGGGAAAUGAGAUGAACAAAACAGGCUAACAAAAACCAGUUAAUGUUCACUUUCCCCUAGCACCCCCCCACACACACACACCCAGUGCUCCUUCCACUCCACAGACUUAUACCUGGAGACAGAAUGAGGCAGGUCUGAACCCCAGAAAAGCAGCUGGUAGGCCUGAGCUGUGGAGUAAUAGGCUUAUGUCAUUCUUUAAUUCUUCAAAUAUUCCCCUGGGCUGGCAUGGCUAGAAAAUUACCUGUUACGUAUGAGCCAACAUUCAGACUCAAAAGACACAGACCUACCAUCAUCAAGACAAUUCAAAAGAAUGCACUGUGAGCUUGAAGACAAUUUCCAGAGAGACAUAAAUUCUCAGAAUGUUUCCAGUAAUGGCUGGAUCAUUGGAACAAAGGGCUGACGACCUCCCCUGGGGACCAAACUCCUUAGGAUGUAUGUGCUGAGAACUGUUAACAUUCCAACUCAUUACAUAAUAGUUGCACCUCAUGCACUCGGAUACCUCCGAAAAUGUUUCCAGCCCUUCUAUUUCAGUCAUCACGGCCCACUGACAGCCUACUAUGCCUCUGAGAGAAUGUUCCUGUAGCAGAGUUAAGAAUGAGAAGGAAAGAGCCAACAAUGAGGCAACGCUGUGAACCAUCCUCUAUUUACCUCCUUUUGAAAGGACUUGAGACCACGAGGAAUGAAUUCUCCCCAGCUUUAGUGCUUGUAGGCUUCAUCUGGCUUUUCUCUUUUAGUUUAUGCAUAGCAUCUAAGAAAGGGAUAAUUUGACCUCGAGGAUAAUUCCAGCAGCAUUGGGCCAGCAAUGCCUUGGAGGAGAUAGCCACAACAUCUACUGAUUAUCAGGACUUGCUUUUCAAACCUGCCUGCCGAUAGAAGAUUCCUCCUCCUCCCCCUCUCCCCCAGGGUGAAGUCAGAACACUCCUCUCACCACAGUCCCUUUGCUCUUCCAUUGGAGCACUCGACUCUGCAUCUCCCCUAGCUACUUCCGUUUUCUUCCUUCUUACGUCCUAUGACUUUUGAGCAUUGCAUUGGAUGUUGCAUCAUUCAAAGACUCAAUGACAGACCAAUUCAGAUUUACAUGCAGACAAUGAAAAUCCAGGUGUAGGGUGGAAUAUGUGCAGAGAAAGCAUACCAGUAAAUAAGAUUUGAGGGCUGGAGAGAUGGCUCAGCAGUUAGGGCACUGGCUGCUCUUCCAGAGGACCUGGGUUCAAUUCCCACCAACCACAUGGCAACUCACAUCCGUCUGUAACUCAAGUUCCAAUGGAUCCAACUCCCUCACAAAGGCAUGCAUGUCAAACACCAGUGCAUGUAUUAAUUAAUUAGUUAAGUUAGUCAAAAGAUCUUAGUUCCAAGCCCCAUUCAGGAUCUAAGGAACAAAAGGAUCUUCUAUUUGUCCAAUCGGAUUCAGAAUUCCAAUACACUUGGAUCUUAACACAUAACAGAUUUGUGGUACGGGAAAAGUGGCUCAGUGGUUAGGAACACACACUGCUCCUGCAGAAGCCCCAAGUCUGACUCCCAGCCCCCACACUGGGUGGCUCACAACCACCUUAACUUCAGAUCCUAUGGGCCCUAUGGCUCUUAACCUCUAUGGGAAGUGCAUUAAGUUAUACACAUUCAGACAC